rnacentral:rRNA from 1 species
GCGGGAAUUCGAUUAGAGUUUGAUCCUGGCUCAGAACGAACGCUGGCGGCAUGCCUAACACAUGCAAGUCGAACGAACCCUUCGGGGUUAGUGGCGCACGGGUGCGUAACGCGUGGGAAUCUGCCCUUGGCUUCGGAAUAACAGUUAGAAAUGACUGCUAAUACCGGAUGAUGUCUUCGGACCAAAGAUUUAUCGGCCAGGGAUGAGCCCGCGUAGGAUUAGGUAGUUGGUGGGGUAAAGGCCUACCAAGCCGACGAUCCUUAGCUGGUCUGAGAGGAUGAUCAGCCACACUGGGACUGAGACACGGCCCAGACUCCUACGGGAGGCAGCAGUGGGGAAUAUUGGACAAUGGGCGCAAGCCUGAUCCAGCAAUGCCGCGUGAGUGAUGAAGGCCUUAGGGUCGUAAAGCUCUUUUACCCGGGAUGAUAAUGACAGUACCGGGAGAAUAAGCUCCGGCUAACUCCGUGCCAGCAGCCGCGGUAAUACGAAUCACUAGUGAAUUCGCGGCCGCCUGCAGGUCGACCAUAUGGGAGAGCUCCCAACGCGU